rnacentral:rRNA from 1 species
AUUGAACGCUAGCGGGAUGCUUUACACAUGCAAGUCGAACGAGUGGCGGACGGGUGAGCAAUAUAUCGGAAUGUGCCCAGGAGAGGGGGAUCACUACUCGAAAGUGUGGCUUAUACCGUAUUAUAUUGGAGCGGCCGAUAUCGGAUUAGCUUGGUGGUGGGGUAAAGGCUCACCAAGGCAACGAUCCGUAGCUGGUUUGAGAGGACGACCAGCCACACUGGGACUGAGACACGGCCCAGACUCCUACGGGAGGCAGCAGUGGGGAAUUUUGGACAAUGGGGGAAACCCUGAUCCAGCCAUCCCGCGUGUAUGAGAAGGCCUUCGGGUUGUAAAGUACUUUUGGCAGAGAAGCGGUAUCUGCAGAAUAAGCACCGGCUAACUACGUGCCAGCAGCCGCGGUAAUAC